rnacentral:rRNA from 1 species
AACCUGGUUGAUCCUGCCAGUAGUCAUAUGCUUGUCUCAAAGAUUAAGCCAUGCAUGUCUCAGUACUUGCCGACCUAAGGCGAAACCGCGAAUGGCUCAUUAAAUCAGUCAUGAUUUAUGGGAUGUUGUCAAUCCUUACUCGGAUAACUGUGGUAAUUCUAGAGCUAAUACGUGCAACUAGUCUCCGACCCCGGCCCUCGCGGUCGGGGGAAGGGCGCAUUUGUUAGACCAAAAACCGGGUGGACAGUCGGGGCAAUCUCAGCCGCUUCGCGCGGCUGCAGCAUUCGUCCUCGUCCAUUCCUCUACGGUUACGUGGUGACUCUGGAUAACUACAGCCGAGCGCUGAGGUCUUAGUACCGGCGCCGUAUCCUUCAAGUGUCUGCCUUAUCAGCUCUCGAUUGUAGGUUAUUCGCCUACAAUGGCUGUAACGGGUAACGGGGAAUCAGGGUUCGAUUCCGGAGAGGGAGCCUGAGAAACGGCUACCACAUCUAAGGAAGGCAGCAGGCACGCAAAUUACCCAAUCCCGGCUCGGGGAGGUAGUGACGAAAAAUAACGAUGCGGGACUCUUCCGAGGCCUCGCAAUCGGAAUGAGUCCAAUUUAAAAACUUGGACGAGGAUCCAUUGGAGGGCAAGUCUGGUGCCAGCAGCCGCGGUAAUUCCAGCUCCAAUAGCGUAUAUUAAAGUUGCUGCGGUUAAAAAGCUCGUAGUUGGAUUUCUGAUGCGGACCGGGAGCCCAUCCAAGGCGCGCCCUCGUCUUUAGCGAGCGGCGUUCCGUGGGGUUCUUCCCGUGUCUCGGCAGCGGCCGAAGAGGGUCGUUGGCGACUCUUUCCGUUCCGCGGUCUUCGCAACAGCGAGUUCCUCUCGCUUAAAGCGUUGCGUCGGCGUGGGCUGCGGCUCUUCCGCAAGGCGGGUUCGCGGGGGCCGGAUCAAACGGGACGUUUGAGUAGCGGGCCUUCUUCCGAGCGGUGUCUGUAGCCUUCUCCCAGGGUUUUCUCCGCUGCGGUCGCCUCUCCUCGCGUCUUCUCUCUCUCUUCGCUCGUCUCACCGUUACCUUUCCCUGUCGUCUCGUUUAGCAUUCCAAACCGAGUUCGUUUACGCCGUCGGGCGGGUUUAUCACAACCCGUUCCGUACGGGUCGGCGUCUCGGGCGGCGAGGUCGGGGGUUGGGGCCCGGCGGGAUUUCAAAAAGGGCGAAAGAGGAAGGACGGAGUGAAGCGCGCCGCGUUACGCGGGUUCUCCCGUUAUAAAGGUUAAUGGUUUACGGCCGCGAUCGGGGUCGGUCGUCUCGCCUCUUUCGUCUCCCGGCUCCGUCUUUGCACCGUCGGUCGUGGCUCAGCCCCGUCGUCGUUUCGCUGGGAGGUUCCUUCGUACGCGUGGGGCCCGGUUCGAGAAACGUCUCAUCGGUUUCUCCUCUCGGGUAGAUCCCGCUGUUCGGGGCGGGGGGAAAAAAAACCUCUCGGCGGCGUUUUUUGCUCCUGGCGAGUAAGCGCGCCCGGUGGUUCACUGCCCGGCUCCGUAUUUCGAACAGCCGUCGGCUCUCACGGGGUGCUCUUUACCGAGUGUCCCGCGUGGCCGGCAAGUUCACUUUGAAAAAAUUAGAGUGCUCAAAGCAGGCUAAAAUAUUUACGCCUGAAUGGUAGUGCAUGGAAUGAUGGAACAGGACCUCGGUCCUGCCUUUUUCAGCCCGGUUUUUCGGAACCGAGGUAAUGAUUAACGGGAACAGACGGGGGCAUUAGUAUUGCGGCGCGAGAGGUGAAAUUCUUGGACCGUCGCAAGACUAACUACUGCGAAAGCAUUUGCCAAGAAUGUUUUCAUUAAUCAAGAACGAAAGUUAGAGGAUCGAAGGCGAUCAGAUACCGCCCUAGUUCUAACCAUAAACGAUGCUAACUGGCGAUCCGUCGGCGUCAUUCCCACGACUCGGCGGGGAGCCCCCGGGAAACCAAAGUCUUUGAGUUCCGGGGGAAGUAUGGUUGCAAAGCUGAAACUUAAAGGAAUUGACGGAAGGGCACCACCAGGAGUGGAGCCUGCGGCUUAAUUUGACUCAACACGGGGAACCUCACCAGGCCCAGACACUGGAAGGAUUGACAGAUUGAGAGCUCUUUCUCGAUUCGGUGGUUGGUGGUGCAUGGCCGUUCUUAGUUGGUGGAGCGAUCUGUCUGGUUGAUUCCGAUAACGAACGAGACUCUACCCUGCUAACUAGUCGGCGGAUCGACUCCCGAGACGGGUUUCCUUCCGCGGGGUUUUCGGGCGGGGGUUGCCUCGGCUCGUCGUCGUUCCCUAGCAGCCUUGCUGCGUUCGCGGUAGCGCGCGCGUCGUUCUUCCGUCUUCUCGGGUGCCGGGGUGGAGGAGGCUUCGCGCCUUUCUCUUUCCCCGUCUCGGGGAGCGGGCGGCGGCGUUGUCGUCGUUCCGUCGCGUAGUAUCGUCUGCUUGGGGCUGAAGCGGCGGCGGUGUCCUAGGUCCUCGUCUUGCCUCGCGUGUCGGGGCUCAGCGAGGGGCGUCCGUCGCAAUAUCUUCUUAGAGGGAUCGGCGGCGUCCAGCCGCAAGAGAGAGAGCAAUAACAGGUCUGUGAUGCCCUUAGAUGUUCUGGGCCGCACGCGCGCUACAAUGUAGGGAUCAACGUGCUCUCCCCCUCCGAAAGGAGCGGGUAACCCGUUGAAACCCCUACUCGAUUGGGAUUGGGGAUUGUAAGUGUUUCCCAUGAACGAGGAAUUCCCAGUAAGCGCAAGUCAUCAGCUUGCGCUGAUUACGUCCCUGCCCUUUGUACACACCGCCCGUCGCUACUACCGAUUGAAUGAUUCAGUGAGGGCAUCGGACUGGCGCCUUCGGUAGCCGUCGGCUCGCAUUCCAAACUCCGCUUCGGCGGGGGCGGCCGCCGGCACCCUAGGCUGACGGAAAGAUGUCCGAACUUGAUCAUUUAGAGGAAGUAAAAGUCGUAACAAGGUUUCCGUAGGUGAACCUGCGGAAGGAUCA